rfam:Cladophialophora psammophila CBS 110553 aczJe-supercont1.5, whole genome shotgun sequence.
GCAAUCGACCAUAGGAUAUGGAAAGCAGGGCUUCCCGUUCGCUCAGCCGUACUUAAGCCAUAUGCCGGCCCGUCAGUACCAAGGUGGGUGACCACUUGGGAAUCCAGGCUGUUGAUUGUU